ensembl:snRNA U6 U6 spliceosomal RNA
AUGCUUACUGUGGCAGCACAUGUACUAAAACAGGAACAAUACAGAGAAGUCAGCAUGACCCCUGUGCAAGGAUGACACCCGAAUCUGUGAAGCAUUCCAUAACUUU